AACUAGCCCUGAUUGAAGCAUUUGUCUGAGCUCUUUUUAGAAAUUUCUAGAUGAUUUAUCAGGCAAAAAUUUCUAAAAAAGCGAGUGCGAAAAGCAGGGUUAGCU
rnacentral:misc_RNA from 1 species